AAACCAACAGGGAUUGCCCCAGUAACGGCGAGUGAAGGGGCAACAGCUCAAAUUUGAAAUCUGGCCCCAGGCCCGAGUUGUAAUUUGCAGAGGAUGCUUUUGGCGCGGUGCCUUCCGAGUUCCCAGGAACGGGACGCCAUAGAGGGUGAGAGCCCCGUACGGUUGGACACCAAGCCUUUGUAAAGCUCCUUCGACGAGUCGAGUAGUUUGGGAAUGCUGCUCUAAAUGGGAGGUACAUUUCUUCUAAAGCUAAAUAUUGGCCAGAGACCGAUAGCGCACAAGUAGAGUGAUCGAAAGUUGAAAAGCACUUUGAAAAGAGGGUUAAACAGCACGUGAAAUUGUUAAAAGGGAAGCGCUUGUGACCAGACUUGCGUCCGGUGAAUCACCCAGCUCUCGCGGCUGGGGCACUUCGCCGGCACAGGCCAGCAUCAGCUUGCCGUCGGGGACAAAAGCUUCAGGAACGUGGCUCCUCUCGGGGAGUGUUAUAGCCUGUUGCAUAAUACCCUUCGGCGGGCUGAGGUACGCGCUCCGCAAGGAUGCUGGCGUAAUGGUCAUCAGCGAC
rnacentral:rRNA from 1 species